rnacentral:rRNA from 1 species
UACAGAGGGUGCGAGCGUUGUUCGGAAUUAUUGGGCGUAAAGGGCGCGUAGGCGGUGCGGUAAGUCACCUGUGAAAUCUCCUGGCUCAACUGGGAGCUUGCAGGCGAAACUGCCGUGCUGGAGUGUGGGAGAGGUGCGUGGAAUUCCUGGUGUAGCGGUGAAAUGCGUAGAUAUCAGGAGGAACACCAAUGGCGAAGGCAGCUCGCUGGGACGGUACUGACGCUGAGACGCGAAAGCGUGGGGAGCAAACAGG